rnacentral:rRNA from 1 species
ACGGAAGGCAGCAGUGGGGAAUAUUGGGCAAUGGGCGAAAGCCUGACCCAGCGACGCCGCGUGAGGGAAGAAGGUCUUCGGAUUGUAAACCUUAGUCAACAGGGAAGAAGAAAGUGACGGUACCUGUGGAGGAAGCCACGGCUAACUACGUGCCAGCAGCCGCGGUAAUACGUAGGUGGCAAGCGUUAUCCGGAUUUAUUGGGUGUAAAGGGUGUGUAGGCGGGACGGCAAGUCAGAUGUGAAAACUCAGGGCUUAACCUUGAGCCUGCAUUUGAAACUGUCGUUCUUGAGUGUCGGAGAGGUAAAUGGAAUUCCCAGUGUAGCGGUGAAAUGCGUAGAUAUUGGGAGGAACACCAGUGGCGAAGGCGAUUUACUGGACGACAACUGACGCUGAGACACGAAAGCGUGGGGAGCAAACAGGAUUAGAUACCCUGGUA